rnacentral:rRNA from 1 species
AUUGAACGCUGGCGGCAUGCUUUACACAUGCAAGUCGAACGGUAACAGGGAGCUUGCUCCGCUGACGAGUGGCGAACGGGUGAGUAAUAUAUCGGAACGUACCCAAGAGUGGGGGAUAACGUAGCGAAAGUUACGCUAAUACCGCAUACGAUCCAAGGAUGAAAGCAGGGGACCGCAAGGCCUUGUGCUCCUGGAGCGGCCGAUAUCUGAUUAGCUAGUUGGUAGGGUAAAGGCCUACCAAGGCAUCGAUCAGUAGCUGGUCUGAGAGGACGACCAGCCACACUGGAACUGAGACACGGUCCAGACUCCUACGGGAGGCAGCAGUGGGGAAUUUUGGACAAUGGGCGCAAGCCUGAUCCAGCAAUGCCGCGUGAGUGAAGAAGGCCUUCGGGUUGUAAAGCUCUUUUGUCAGGGAAAAACGGGCGUGGCUAAUAUCCAUGUCUAAUGACGGUACCUGAAGAAUAAGCACUGGCUAACUACGUGCCAGCAGCCGCGGUAAUACGUAGGGUGCAAGCGUUAAUCGGAAUUACUGGGCGUAAAGCGUGCGCAGGCGGUUUUGUAAGUCUGUCGUGAAAUCCCCGGGCUCAACCUGGGAAUGGCGAUGGAGACUGCAAGGCUAGAAUCUGGCAGAGGGGGGUAGAAUUCCACGUGUAGCAGUGAAAUGCGUAGAGAUGUGGAGGAACACCGAUGGCGAAGGCAGCCCCCUGGGUCAAGAUUGACGCUCAUGCACGAAAGCGUGGGGAGCAAACAGGAUUAGAUACCCUGGUAGUCCACGCCCUAAACGAUGUCUACUAGUUGUCGGGUCUUAAUUGACUUGGUAACGCAGCUAACGCGUGAAGUAGACCGCCUGGGGAGUACGGUCGCAAGAUUAAAACUCAAAGGAAUUGACGGGGACCCGCACAAGCGGUGGAUGAUGUGGAUUAAUUCGAUGCAACGCGAAAAACCUUACCUACCCUUGACAUGGAGGAAUCCUUGAGAGAUUGAGGAGUGCCCGAAAGGGAACCUUUACACAGGUGCUGCAUGGCUGUCGUCAGCUCGUGUCGUGAGAUGUUGGGUUAAGUCCCGCAACGAGCGCAACCCUUGUCAUUAGUUGCUACGAAAGGGCACUCUAAUGAGACUGCCGGUGACAAACCGGAGGAAGGUGGGGAUGACGUCAAGUCCUCAUGGCCCUUAUGGGUAGGGCUUCACACGUCAUACAAUGGUACAUACAGAGGGCCGCCAACCCGCGAGGGGGAGCUAAUCCCAGAAAGUGUAUCGUAGUCCGGAUUGUAGUCUGCAACUCGACUGCAUGAAGUUGGAAUCGCUAGUAAUCGCGGAUCAACAUGUCGCGGUGAAUACGUUCCCGGGUCUUGUACACACCGCCCGUCACACCAUGGGAGCGGGUUUUACCAGAAGUAGGUAGCUUAACCGCAAGGAGGGCGCUUACCACGGUAGGAUUCGUGACUGGGGUG